UCAUAGCAGAGGGCGGGGCCAACGAGCCGUGAGGGCGUGAGGCGGGCCCGGCCGCCAUUUCCCGCCUCGGGCUGCGCGGGAAAAAAUAAAUCACGGAGUCGGAAUUGUUUGGGUGAGAAAAGAGCUGUGGGAUCAGCGAGUUUGACCUGUGGGCCGGCGCCACUUUGUCAGCCACUGGGUGCCCUGUGCGGGUUUUCCUUAAACACCGUCAGGGAUAGUGAUUCCAUCACCUUACUGGGGCGUGUUAUUUCUGAUCUCUAAUGUCUAAUCAACUUUUCUGUGAAGGAAUUUUUCCUGAUGUCCAACCUAAACCUCCCCUGGCCCAGCCUGAGGCCGUUCCCUCUCCUCCUGUCCCUGUUCCCUGGGAGCAGAGCCCGAUGCCCCCCGGCUGUCCCCUCCUGGCAGGGAGUUGUGCAGAGCCAGAAAUUCCCCCUGAGCUUCCUUUGCUCCAGGCUGAGCCCCUUUCCAGCUCCCUCAGCUGCUCCUGGGGCUCCAGAGCCGCCUUCUCUGGACCUGAAUAUUAAUGGUUUCAUGAACAGGUAUGAACCAUCUGAAGGAAGAUGUGUGAAGUAUUUUUACAGGUGACUGUAAGGUGUCUUUCAGAGGCAAGUGUGUAGCUCAGAUCACAGACUCACUCCAUUUGGACGUGACCACACUGGGUCAUCUGGUCCCACGUCCCUGCUCCGGCAGGGAGGAGCCCAGCAGGGCCAUCCUGAGCACACAGCACAGGAUUGUGUCCAGAUGGCUGUGGAAUAUCCUCAGGGAGGGAGACUCCACACCCUCUCUGGGCAACCUGUUCAGGGCUCACUCACUGCACAGGUUCUUCCUCCAGAGAAGGAGGAAUUUCCUGGGAUCCAGGGGGAAUUUCCUGGGAUCAGUUCCUGCCCAUUCCUCUGGUGGCACUGCUGGAUCCCAGAGAGCAGGGCCCAUCCUCAGCAGGUGCUGACAGACAUUGAUGAGGUCCCCUCUCAGUGUAUCCUCUCAAGGCUGAACAGCCCCAGCUCUUUCAGCUUUUCCUCAUAUGAGAGAUGCCCCAGUCCAUUAAUCUUCCUUGUAGCCUCUGCUGGACCCACCCCAGGAGCUCCAUGUCCCUCUUGUACUGCAAAGGUACCGAUGGCAGGCCUGGCUGCUUCUCUCAGAGCUAAUACCCUCUGUCCUUUUCCUAAAAGGCAUGUCUGGCUUUCCAGGAAUUCCCAGUGCUGCUGUUUGCUGGUGCAUGAGGAUGUAAACUGUGAUGUACCUGUCCUGCUCCCACCCUCCUCGGUACCUGCCAUUACCCAGGGCCUUGGGCCUGAUGGUGGGGAAAGUACAUGGGGAAACCUACCCCAAAUAAUGGCUCUUGUGGGACUGCCAGAGUGUAAAACCAAGAGAAAACCUUUAAAAAAGCAUGGUGCUGUAUUUAACAUAAAUAAGGAAUUGUAACCUCCUUUGCCUCCUAGAAAAAAAAAAAUAAAAAAAAAAAAUCUAAUGUAUAUUCAAGACUCUGUUGUAAUCUUGCUACACUAAAGAUAGGUAUAAUUUUAAAAUUAAUUAAAUAAAUAGGGAAAACCCUUCUGUAGCCAGCAUAGACCCAGGCAGCAUGAAUUUUAGUAAUAUUGGUUACAACUACCUUAUUUUUCCACUAAAAGAGGAAACCAUUGACCAUUUGCAUUAACAAAAUAUUUAUAAAUUUAUCUAUGAACAGUUUUACCUAACAAUAACAAAACCCUGCCAUUGCCUCUCCAUCUCUGAAAGUGUCCAAGGCCAGGCUGGAUGGGGCUUGGAGUAACCUGGGAUAGUGGAAGGUGUCCCUGCCCAUGGCAGAGGGUUGGAACUGCAUGAUCUGUAAGGUGCCUUCCAACCCCAGCCUCUCUGGGAUUCUGCAAUUCCUUUCCAGGCUGGGUUGUAGAAAUGACCAAUGUGUUUAAUUCCAGCAAUUUAAGCAUCUCUUUUUGUCACAGCUCUUCCUCGCUCUGGAAGAAGGAUGUGGGCCCAGCCUCGAGGAAUUUCUGUUCUGCAGCAGUGCCACAUCCAGUUUCUGGAGAAAAUGACUUAACAGCUCACGGGCCUUGUUUCAUUCCUGCAGUCGACAGAUUUAAACAUUUUGCUGGAUGAGGAGACAGAAACAUCUUGUCAGAUGAAAAGCACGUUUUGCAAGGCUUGACAAAUACAAUGUUCACCUGGAGCCGAUGUGGUCUGUGUGAUUUCGAUGCUGGUAGGAUUGUUUCUGUAACUCAUGUUGUAAAACUCCGGUCCAGCAGCUCACUCACUGUGUGUUCAUCUUCAUCAGGAAUUUGGGCAGCGGGAAGCAGAAUGGAAGCUGAGGAAGCACAGCUGUUCUUGUCCUGGCAGCACUGCUGUAACCUCAGAAAGGGGUCCCUUCCCCUGGGCAUGGGAUCAGCCUCUCCCACCCCACCACUCCCAUUUCUGUGCCUGUUAUGAGAUGGAUGUUACAGAAUCAAGAGCAAUCCAUGUUCUCAUUGUUUCCUAAAUAGUGCCAUUAGAAUGGUAAAUUGCAACAGUAAAACAAUGUCAAUAGGAAGUUAUGAAGUUCCCAUUUUAUGAUGCAUUCAUAAAGUUAACUCAAUCUACUAAAAUGUGGCUGUGAUUUCCACACAGUGGCCUAUUUGCUAUGACAGAAGAGAUUCUGAUGAGAAAACAGUUGAGCUUUAAGUGUGCUGGGACUCUGCUUUUACCCGAGUAAAACUCAGCAUAUCCCCUGUUGGAAUAUGUGUUGGAAUAUGCAUAUCAGAAUUUAUUCAACUAGUGCUUGUUUGAUCACUUUUGGUUUCACUGAGUGCUGUGAAUUCCAAGGAUUUCAUGCCUUUGAAUACAAUGCGUUUAUUCCCAUGGAAAAAAAAUGAGAAAACUCCAGUGCUAUAAUUUAGAUGUUACUAUUGUCAUUUCACAGAAGGAUAAGAGAGAACCAAAUCAAUCAGAAGAAAUAGCUGCUUUUAGUUUUAUCUCCAGAUCUGGCAGCAAGUCAUAACUUAGAAGUUGUACAACAAUUUCCAUGCUGAGUCCCUUUUUCAGUCAACUGUAACUGUCCUGAACUUUAACAUUAUGAGUUGUCUGUUUCAGGCUGAGUUGUUUGGGUGGAAUCAGUAUUACUGUCAAUCUGAGAAAGAGUCAUGAAACUGGCUUUCAAGUACUGUAACAGAAAUUGUCUCUCUUCUUUCUCCCUAAGAAAGGUUUUUAGGGAAAAAGUA